UCCAAAACCAAACCACUACAAUUUGUUGGAA
rnacentral:piRNA from 1 species